AGAGUUUGAUCCUGGACUCAGGAUUAACGCUGGCGGUAUGCCUAACACAUGCAAGUCGAACGGAAUACUAAUUAAGAGAAUCUCACACUAGUGAGAGGUUCUCACGAGUAGUAUUUAGUGGCGGACGGGUGAGUAACACGUUGGAACCUGCCCCGAAGUGGGGAAUAACUGCUCGAAAGAGUAGCUAAUACCCCAUAGUAUCCGGUUUAUCCGGAUUAAAGAUUUAUCGCUUCGGGAGGGGCCUGCGUCUGAUUAGCUAGUUGGUGAGGUAAAAGCUCACCAAGGCGACGAUCAGUAGCUGGUUCGAGAGGAUGACCAGCCACACUGGGACUGAGAUACGGCCCAGACUCCUACGGGAGGCAGCAGUGAGGAAUCUUCCACAAUGGGCGCAAGCCUGAUGGAGCAAUACCGCGUGCAGGAAGACGCUUUUCGGAGUGUAAACUGCUUUUGUCGUCGAAGAUUAUGACUGUAGACGAAGAAUAAGGACCGGCUAACUACGUG
rnacentral:rRNA from 1 species